UACGGGGGGGGCAAGCGUUGUUCGGAAUUACUGGGCGUAAAGGGCUCGUAGGUGGCCAACUAAGUCAUACGUGAAAUCCCUCGGCUUAACCGGGGAACUGCGUCUGAUACUGGAUGGCUUGAGUUUGGGAGAGGGAUGCGGAAUUCCAGGUGUAGCGGUGAAAUGCGUAGAUAUCUGGAGGAACACCGGUGGCGAAGGCGGCAUCCUGGACCAACACUGACACUGAGGAGCGAAAGCGUGGGGAGCGAACAGG
rnacentral:rRNA from 1 species